UUAAAAAAAAAAUCUAUCAGAAUCUAGACUGGAAUUCCAGUAUUUGUCCUUUUCUGUUUCAUGGGGAAUGCUUUCCCCUCCAAGACUCUCUGUAGCCUUAAUUUUUGCACAGUGCAUCACCUGGCUUUUCUGUCAAUACCUGAAAGACAGAUUUGAAAGAACUAGUUUUUCCAACUCUACCUAGAAAUCUAAGCCCAGAUAAGACCAAUGCAAUAACCGUAAAGAAGUUAUUGUUCUUUGCUUCCUUGAGACCAAAAAUCUACUAACACUUGUCCUAUACUGAGAAGUCUAUUGUUUUACAGGAGAUUCUGUAGGACCAAAUAUACUGUUAAAACACAAAUGUAUCUAGCUCUUAGUUGAAUUUCUGUGUCCCAUGUUCUUCAUUAUUGCAAACUCAAAUGCCAGUAAUGCCCGCUGCAGCCUCUAAAUGGGAACAGCAAGAGGCGAACACUUUCAGAGCUCUGUGAGUCUGGGCAAUCUGCGCCAUUGUUCACCAUUUGCUCAGGGGCAGCCUUGGGAAGCACAUUUUACUUUGGCCCCGGGGCAGGAUUUUUCUCUGAAAGGAGUGCAGAGACGAGGGUGCAGCUAGAGCCACGUCUCGCAGCUGGGGCUUCAGGUUUCCACCGACAGAUCACAGAAGAUGCAGUUUACCACUGGAGCCGUUUGGAGUCAGAAGUGUAGGAGACUGCAACCCAAGAACCUCUGGGUCUCCACGCCACUGUUGGGCUUAGUGAGGAGCCGGGGUGAGAACACAGUAUCCGCCCGGUGCUCCUUCGGGUCGGUCACUGCUACCUGCUUGGUUAAGCAGGCAGGCAAGCCUGGGAGCCCGCCAGCACUGCUCUCCCAAGGAGCUGCCCAUCUGAAGAGAGUCCCUCUAGCAAAUGUGCCUUCAGGGGACUAUAGAACCAGCGGCAAAGCCAUUUGCAUUCAUUCAUCCUACACCUGUCUUUUGCCUCCUAAAAUGUUCAAGGUUCCUGCCAUAUGUAGAUAUGUUUCUGGUCUCUAAAUAGCUGUGCUUAUAGUCCACUCUGAGAUGAUUGAGCAGCAAGGGAGAAGACCAGGCCCAGGGAGAAUAUGGCUCUCUCCUUCCUGAACCGAGUUGUCUGUGCUCCCACGGCCAUUCUUUUGUUAUGGUUGUCCUUGGCCAUGAAACAAAUGCAAGAUCUUUACGAUUUUCCUGAACAAUAAAUGGUACCAACUGAAUGAGAACAAGUUGAUGCCAAAUCUAUGUAUUUUCUGAAAUCACUUUUCUGAAAUAAAGCAGAAAUUACUCUAAUAGCCAUCAUUUAUGUGGACCUUGUGCCAGGUAUAGUGUUAAGGACUUUACUAAGGUAUCUUAUUUAGUGUUCACAACCGCUCUGUGACAUAGGGCUUAUUGGACCCAUUUUACAUGAGGAUUUAAAACUUAGAGGGGAAAGUGACAUUCCCAACGUGACAAUAUCUACUUGUUUCAGAACCCAGACCUUCCCUUUCACAUGGUCAUCGACAACUAGAAGACUGAAGAAAGAGUCCCUCGAAAAGACUCUGCUAGCCCACUUAAGAUAGCUGGUUCCAUCUUCCUUGAAUCCAGUGCACAGGGAAGGCCAUGGUGCUGUCCCCGCCAGCCACACUAGUGCCUGGUGCACCGAGGGUAAGAGCUGCCAGCAGGCGGCUCAGCACCAUGCACACCCGGCAAGGGGCCCAGCCCAGCCCAGCAGUGGCUUUGCUGGGAAGAACAGUGGCUUUGCUGUGGGGCAAACCUGGGCUCCAGAUGUGAUCAGGUCACCAACCUCUCCGACCCUCAGUUUCCACAUCUGUAAAGCAGGGAGUCAUAAUGCCGUCUUCACAGAGAUGCGGUCCACAUGGGAUGAGAAAUUGUAUGUAACUACCUAAUAUGUGUGCUUACUAGAUAAUGUUUAAAAAUACCUAGUUGCUUAAAAUGUCAUUUUACUCUGUGUUAACAAAAGGUUUCCCAGGCACCCUGAAGUGUUUUGGCCCCAGCAGGAGCAGGAUUGAAAGACACAGUGUUCUGCAGUUUCCCCAAAGGCAGGUUCACUCUUUAGAACCAGUUCUGGUUUUUAUGGUCUGUUUUUCCCUCCAAGGUAGGAGGUGGACCAAUGCCUACCCUUCUGCCCUCCCUACCCUAUAGCUCUUUCCCAAGAAUUCUCUCACCUCCCUUUUGUGAUUUCCUUAAGUGCUUUUAAUGGCUGCUUGACACUAGAAAGAUAUUCCCAGCAGGCACUCAAUUUGUAAUUGCUGCUUGUUGCUUGAUGUGAACUUGUGGCUGACCUCUGGGAAAGCAGUGGGGAUUGGGGGAGGGAGCUAGGCUGUGCUCCAGUAAAGCAAGGCGCUAGGACCCCGAGCAGCUGGCAGGCAGCUGGAGGAGUGGCUCCAAACAUUUCCCUCACACCUUUGGCCACCUCUGUCCUGCGUGUCUGGAAGUGUAAUCGGUAGAGGAUUGUGGUGUGGGUAAAGCCCACCAUUCUUAGCACCAGCCGAAAACCAGAACAGAAACUCAGAUAAUGAGCACCGGCUGCUAGAGGUACGUUUCAGCAGAGUCUGCGUGUUACCACGGAGAGGAGGCGUGCAGGGUCCUUAGGGUCAUUCUUUAUGCCCCAGAGCCAACCAGCCAGCAUUUCGUGGCCUGCCACCUGGGGGUCUAGGCGGCCUCCCACUUUUUUUUUUUUAAACCUUCUAAAUAGGACUGUCUUCACCAAGGGGAAGGUGAUUGAGAAAUGGAGGCAAAAUGCAAAUCACUUAUGUCUUUGUUUCACAAAUAGACAGCUGCUAAGGAGGGUUUAAGUGUUUAGUUACAAGACACACCCUCGAGCAACAGCUCUCAGUCUAGAGGUGGAAAAGCCAAGUAUCAUACAGGGUUAAUCCCACCACAAGAGACAUGUGUAGCUGGUGACCAAUGCCAGGGAAAUGGGUUUCAUGCUUCGUGCCUAGUCAUAUGCGACUGACUCUCUUGAACCUUACAGGCUGUGCCCUAAACCACACAGCCAGGACUUUACAGAGAGGCUCCAGUGCCCACCACUGUUCACAGCCUCCAUCCUGAUCUCUUAGUCCUGCUCCCCUUGCACUCCACUUGCUGGCCUGCCUGGACCUUCCCAAGUUUGGACUGCUUGAUGAAUUAUCCUGUUCAUGGACAUGGCUCACUGCUUAAGGCUGCCACUCCGCCCCUCACGCCAGCUCUGACUCCUGCCGUGCCUCUAUGGCAAUUGUUCAUGCAUAUGUCCGUACUGAGGCUUCUAGCUCGGCUGGUCUCACCGGGCCUCCGGAUUCUACACUCGUGCCACUCCCCCAGGAGCAGUAGCACCGCCAAGUUCCCCUUAGCCGGACAAGCAGUCCCAGGCUCUGCGGGUCUGAGAGCGGAGUGCGGAAUAGUCUCUGUAGGCCGGAGGGGUCAGUACAACGUGCGUGGAGGACAUACAUGUGAAGGCCAGUUCUGAUUUGGGUAGGGCAAAGGAGAGGGCGUUGCUAUUCCAGGCUGGAGCAAGAGAGGUCCUUGUUAUGACUUGUGAACAGCUGUUAAAGCCGUCAGUGUGAAGGAGGAGUUUAGAACUAGAGCUGCCCCAGAGAUUUAAGGAUUAUCUGUGGAUUUCAAUGCCAUUACUGUUCUUUACUGGAGGGGAGGGGAGGGGGAGUUGGAAUGAAAGAGAAAAUAAAGCCUAUAGUACAGAGUUAUGUCAGAUUCAUGGGGUCCUACACUCCUCCUCCAGGCAGUUUUUGCAUUCCUAUGGUAGGCCUGAUUUGAGCGUCUGCCUUUAACCCCUAGCAAGAGUGCCCUUUACAGCCAUGUUGUGACCGUUCGUUCCGGUUAAGAUGAAUAAGAGCUAAGUGGGUGACCAUCUUUUCUUUUACAGAGACCAGUUGUUCCCGCCUUGGUUGCUAGGCCCCUAAUCUAACGCCAUUUCUAAAGCCUGGUCUUCCCACCCUCUCCAGUGGGCAAGAAGAGGCAUAGGGUUAGCCACCAGAAUCCGUCCCAGCAGGACUCCAAGCACUAUCAGAAAUCAGACUUACAUCAUAAGAGCCACAACACAAUGGCGAUUAUGUGCGGUAAAGGAUGUGUUGACCUUAUCAUGGCAGACAUUUUAAAACAUAUACCGUGCCAAAUUAUGAGACCGCCUACCUUAAACUCGCACACUGUUAAAUGCCAGUUAUAUCUCAGUAAAGUUGGGGGAAAAUGAGACACCAGAGAUCAGAGAAGCAGUUUGGGAAGGAAAAGCACCUUCUUUCCAGCUGAACAUAAAGCAAGCAAUUCCAUAGGCGCUGCUGAAACUUCCAUCUACAGAAUUGUCCUCUUUUUUUAAACUUAUUUUUUUCUUUCUUGUUUGUAUUUCAGUCAAGGGCUCUAAAAAUAGUUUUUAGAGAGGAGUGACUAUUGUCUCACAGCAAAUGUUUUUUAAUUUAAAAACAACCCCUGAAAGAAUUCUCUCAUCUUUUCCCCAAAGUGGUUAGCUGGAAUGUUUAUUUUGCUGUCAUUCCCUCCCUCCACCCCUCGGCGCCAGGGCUGAGUGAAGACUGCAGUGAAACGUUUUAAAUAGCGGGUGGGUGAGUGGGUGGGGAAAGCAAAAGAUCUCUACGUUUCUUGUUAACGUCUCAUGCGGGUGUAGGAGAACCAUCUGAUAUGUGUACUAUCCUGUAUGAGAUGGAGUUCUGACUGGGACUCAGAAGCGAGAGCCCAAGCCAUCAUCUAAUCCAGGAAGGAGGAAGGGAGCAGAGCAAGGCGGAGUGGAAAUCUGAUGUGUCAGGCACUGUCUUACACAGCACUUCCUGAGAGAAGCAGUCACUUCAGGAGCAUUUACCAUGUGCCAUAUGCUUUUACUUUCAUAAAGAACCUGGAAUCAUUGACCCUGUUUUACAAGUGAGCAAACUGAGGCCCAGUAAAAUAAGUUUUGCUCAGGGGGACCCAGUUAGUAAGUGGAAGGACUGAAUUCAAACCUUGGUUUCUCUGCGUCCUUCCUGUUCCUCUCUGUCUGAAAGCUAGGAUGGGAAGUCUGACAGCAGGGAGCCACCUAGAUUGUAGACAGAUGCCUCUCGACUCUGCAGCUUUGGAGGGUGACUGGGCCUUAUUCGAUAUUAAGGAAACAUUCCCCUGGUGCCCUUCAGGGUAUUUGGAUUAUCUUGCUCUGGCUAGGCCCUGAAAUUGGGCCGGUGGAGAGCAAUUGCUUUUCAGGUAUCAUGAAUAAAUGUUACGACAUCUGAUUUAUGUUGAGAAGUGACCCAUAAUCAGGUUCUCUUGCAGAUGGAUGGGACAGGUGUGAAGUGGUGGGAUGAUGUCAUUUGAGUGUCACAGCAGAUCUGACUUCAGAAAAAACCAGAAGAAAGGCUGGUGCCCGUCUCUCAUCUGACAGAACUGAUGUGGAAUCCGGGAGAGCCUGUGCGGUGCCAGUGAAGAAGAGGACACAUGAAGGCCUGCCCUCCCCCGUGGAAACUCAUCCCUCCCCCCUGUGUGUAUGUGACGGCGUGUAUGUAGCGGCUUCUGCGUUCUGUGAAAGCUGCCCAGCAACAAACGUACUUCCACCGGAUACACCCCCAGAUCCACAGCAGGCACAUCUCUCUCCAAGGGAUGACCAAUUUUAUUGUGACUGACUGUGCUUUUCGUUCUCUUGUCGUGCUAGGUCAAGAAAAAGUGCCCUGUGAUCAACCAGGAGCAGUUAAUUAAGAAGCAUCCUUCAGGUAGUCCCUCAAUGGCUGCUUUGAACUUACUCAGGAAAGCCAGCGCCCGUGAGAUUGUAUACCCAAACAGCAUCGCUUUAUCUGGAAGGAUCUGGAAUAAUCUUGAAGGGCAGUCAGAAUUGUCUCCCUACCUGCUACUAAAAUCCCACUUUAUUUAUAUUGAAGCAUGAAACAGUGGGGAGCACAGUAGGGCCUUGUAGAUAGUCUCUAAAAGUCCAGUUAUACAUUUGUGAAAAUGUGGCUCCAUGAAGUAAGAUGGGUGGCAUGAAGACGGGGUUGGAGAAAGAGUUAAAAGUUCGAAAUACAGGGAUAUUUUUAGUACAUGAGUUAUCCAGCACUUCAGAUCCAUAAUUCAGUGCUGUGGAAAUGAAAAAAAUGAUUGAAGAGGUAGAAAGGAAAUGACUUAAAAAAAAAAAAAAGGACCAAAGAGAUCUGAUUAAAAGUUGAAAUCAGUAUUUCUGAACUCAAAUUGCUUGAGUUUCCAAAAUAGUCACUAAAGGAUCUGACGGAACCUGAAUUAUUGGGUGAAUUCUGCCGGUUUUCUGGGUCUUGUCACAACAUGAAGGCUGGGAUGUGUAUUACCAAGUGAGAAUUUUCAGUGUAGGUUUUUGUCACCCCUGCUCCAGCCCCCUGGCCUCAUUUGGCUUAAAUGCAGCGUAGGGAGAGUUCUCGUCACUCUGGUGUGCUGAAUCAAGCCCUAUCUCCCAACAGGUGUACUGUCCUUUCCCUCCAGCUGGAACCCUUCUUUCCAUGGCACCCCGACACAGGCCUUCAGCCCCACCCCCACACUCAGGCUCUCCCCUCUCAAGUACCAUGAGCAGAGAUGCACCACAGUUUGACAUCCAGCCUUUCCCCCUUGCCAAGUCACAUUUCCUUACAAACAAGUUUUCUCCUCCCAAGUAAGCAGCGAUUACCAGGGAACACCAACCUACCAGUUAAAGAGCCUGCAUUUUCUGAAACAUCAGUUUUACUGAAAUGGUUUGGAGUCGAGGGAUGACCUUAUUUUUAGAUACAACAGCUACAUUAUGAAAUAGAGUGUUCAUACACACAGUUAAGAUAAAAUGGGACACUUCACAGGGAAUUCUUAUUUGCAAGUGGGGUACAUGUUCCCUGUCCUCUGCCUUUAGUGGUAUUUUGGUGUUCGCUUCCGAGAAGUACAAUUGCUACUGUAUCCAGGCAGCUGACCAGGGCCUAGACCCUUAGUCACCCGCACAGGGAGAAGCCCCUCUCCUGCUACCCGCCUGCCUGCGACCUGUGUACCCGUCUCAGAGCGUUAGGGCCAGCGGGUGUGUGCGUGCAUGCAGGAUGGUUCUGAGGCAGAAACAGUACUUACUGUAGGAACCCUGUCUAUGUCAUUGUUCAGUCCUGUGCAUGCUAUAAAAUUCUUUGAGGCCAGGAAGCUAUCAGGCGUAUAUGCUUCUGGGUUAAGAUUAUCUUAGCUCUCUAAAUAUGUUAGGAUGUUAGGACUGAGAGUGCUUUGGGCUAUUUGAAAAAAAAAAGUAUUUUUCUCUCAAACUGGUGGCCAACAAAUGGCUCAGACUGUUUCUCAGUGCUUUACCUAUCUGCCUGCAAAGACUGGAGAAUUUGGCAUACCACUAGUUACAACCCCCAACCGUAUCCCACGGAACUAUCCAUAAAGAAGGACCAGUGGCCACUCUUAUAAGAGUUUAAAAGCCAGAAGAUGAAGAAGACUUUAGGAUCUGUAUGCUUGUGUUUGUCUUUCCCCAAUAAUUAUUGUUUAAUCUCCAAAUAGCAGCCUUAUCUUCACAAUGGACAGACCAUUGGCUCCUCCCUUCCUGAUUGUAUGUUAUUACUUAAAAUCAGUAUUUGGGAAACCCAGGCAUUUAUGCAGUGGAUAUGAACAGAAAUCUAAAAAUACAUGCCAGCUUGUCUCAAUAUAUUAUCAUAUCUCUGUGAUCCUCAAGGAAAGCACUUUUGCUUUUACUUAAGAUUUCAGAUUUGCUUUAUGGGCUCCUGCUGUCUCCAGCACCUGAUAAAACUUUAACCAGGGAAGCAUUAAACACGGCGCAGCAACUUCUGCCCCGGCUCCUGAGUCCCCGCCGGCAGCAUUUAGCGGUGUAAGACCCAAGGUGCUUCCUGCCAUGGCACCAGCUUCCCCCAGAGCUGGAGUGCGCUGCUCGGCCCUAAGCGCCAGCAGGAUGCGGCUUCCCUCCUGCCAGGUCAGUAAAAGUAAGAGUGCUCGGAAGUGUGUGCUCACCAGCUGCAGGCUCCAGGUUUGCCGAAGUCCCCAGGGAGAAGUCAUCAAGGGCGGCAGGUAAUGAAUGUCUCCAGAAUGAAUAAGGUCCUCACAGCAAUCCCUGGCUGCUUUCCAAAUCUGGGUUCUCUGGAGGCUGAGAGUGGGUUUGUCCUUUGAUUUGGUGUCAUGAAAUGCAGGGCAAUUCCAAGAAGUUCUCUUAGGAGUCUCAGCUCUGACAGCCCAGGAGGGGAAAUGACCUGUAUUGAGGACCAGCUGUGAGCUGGGCCCUGUACUUGGCCCCCAUUUGUUAGAUGAUAGAACAGAUGUGGAGUAAUAGAGCCCCUUGCCUUGAGUGACACAGCUAGGAAAUGCUGGAGCUCUCCCUAACUUCGUGGUGGUCCAUGGUACAUCUACAGUCCGGAGGGAGGAAAAGGCUUCCAGUUCCCCCACUGCAGUCUGACUAUCCCACCUUAUGGAUUCGUUUUCAAAGUUACAUUUCAUGGCUACCGUUUGGGCUCAGAAAUGGCAUCGAGGUGGCCUCGCUCUUCCACCUUGGCAGGUAUAUGAAGUAUACAUUGCUAACUUGAGCUUGCCCCCAGGAGCUGGGGCAGCCUUUCCUUUUUGGUGCCAUCCCCCAUAAAUAGUGUUUCUAGGCCUUCAAGAGUAUAGAAGUUCUCAGAAAUAGUAAAAGCAGAGGGUGUUCUGCUCUCUAAGUUUAUCCGAAAAUGUCUGGUGCUGCAAUCCUACAGAACAGGAAAUCUUCAGAUUUGAGCCCAGCCAGUGCUGUGCUCUGAGAGGCUGUGUUAACUCCGAGUCCAGUGAAUCUGGAUUUCCCUGCUGACAGCUGAUGUGUGUAUGUGUGCACACGAUAUGCACACAUAUGUGUAUACACACACAUAAAUAACACACACACACACACAUGCAGCUUAAGAACGAAGGGGAUUUCAGAGCAGCCGCUCGUGGCCAUUACCCCUGCAGAGGUUUCUGCCAGCCCUGAUCACAAGCAUCCCCAGAUAGUCGGAGCCUCGGUGCUUGCUUACAAGGUGCUUACGAGAACAGCCCCUUGGCGAAGGUUGUCAGCUCCUAAGGCACCAUGGCAGCCCUGAGGGGACUUGCCCAGGCCUGCUCCAAUGUGUCUAAGGGUUUGGGAAAUUUGGAUGACCCGGGGGUCUGCCCACUCCAGUCAGGCCUGAAGGCACAGCUGUUGAGUUUAUGACUUGUGGUCGUGGCAGGGCAUAGGAAAUCCCCUCGCCCACCUAGAAAAUAUUCCCUUGCCAAUACCCGAAUUCCAUGCCCACAUAAUGGCCGCUCAGUACAUGCUUUGUAAUAAGAACAUCGGUUGCAUGUUUACUCUGUGCCUAGCACAUCUGAAAUGUUCUAUUUAAAAUACAAAUCUCAUUAUGAAUGACCUCGGCCCAGCUUUAGGAGAGAAAGAAGGCCCAUAGGGGAGAGUUGAGAUCUCAUUACUGUUGCCUCUACCCAGCCCAUUCUGAAGACCCCACCCCAGCCCAUUCUGAGACCCAGAGGCCCAGGGGACCUGCCUGGUAGAACAGUAGCGUUGGGAACUGAGAACACACCCGAAACAGCAGAGCAAGUGCCAGAGCAGGAAAAGGAAAACGAAUUAAGACACUUGUGGGCAUGCUGGUGCACAAAAUGCCACAGAGCCCAUGCUGGGCUUGAUGUGACCUUGAGGGGACAGUAGAUUGACAUUAAUGGGAGUCAAAUCUGACCAGUCUUUGUACAGUGACAGGCCACACUGCAUGGGGGUGGGGGGGACAGCCGACGAACCCAUUGUCCUCUGCCUGUUUCCCGUGCACAGUCACAUUCCCUCCUUAGUCACCUUCCCCUUUCACCCUUCAUAUUAAACAAGGGAACACUCAAUCUUUCAAGGGAAAUUACACAUUUGAGUUAAUGUUUCAGUAUAUCAUUUUCAUACUGUAAAUUAUUUUGUAAGAGAGAUUUACCGCUAUCCCAGGAUGUUUGGACUCCGGACCCCUGUGCAUUUGGAAAUCAAUAAACUAUUACUGGAAAUGCCA